GCGCCCGAUCUCGUCUGAUCUCGGAAGUUA
rnacentral:rRNA from 1 species